rnacentral:rRNA from 1 species
GAUGAACGCUGGCGGCGUGCCUAAUACAUGCAAGUCGAGCGAACGGACGAGAAGCUUGCUUCUCUGAUGUUAGCGGCGGACGGGUGAGUAACACGUGGAAAACCUACCUAUAAGACUGGGAUAACUUCGGGAAACCGGAGCUAAUACCGGAUGAUAUUUUGAACCGCAUGGUUCAAAAGUGAAAGACGGUCUUGCUGUCACUUAUAGAUGGAUCCGCGCUGCAUUAGCUAGUUGGUAAGGUAACGGCUUACCAAGGCAACGAUGCAUAGCCGACCUGAGAGGGUGAUCGGCCACACUGGAACUGAGACACGGUCCAGACUCCUACGGGAGGCAGCAGUAGGGAAUCUUCCGCAAUGGGCGAAAGCCUGACGGAGCAACGCCGCGUGAGUGAUGAAGGUCUUCGGAUCGUAAAACUCUGUUAUUAGGGAAGAACAUAUGUGUAAGUAACUGUGCACAUCUUGACGGUACCUAAUCAGAAAGCCACGGCUAACUACGUG